GUUCAAGUUGUUAAGAGCACACGGUGGAUGUCUAGGCACCAGGAGCCGAUGAAGGACGUAGGAGGCUGCGAAAAGCCUCGGGGAGCUGCCAACCGAGCUGUGAUCCGAGGGUGUCCGAAUGGGGAAACCCGGCCUCAGUCAUGUGGGGUCACCCGCACCUGAAUAUAUAGGGUGUGUGGAGGGAACGUGGGGAAGUGAAACAUCUCAGUACCCACAGGAAGAGAAAACAACCGUGAUUCCGUGAGUAGUGGCGAGCGAAAACGGAUGAGGCUAAACCGUUGACGUGUGAUACCUGGCAGGGGUUGCGUUGGCGGGGUUGUGGGACGUUACUGAUCCGGGCUGCUGACCGGAUGGGGAGUCAGAAAACAGUGUGUUAGUGGAAUCAGUUUGGGAAACUGGACCGUAGAGGGUGAUAGUCCCGUACGCGAAAACAUGCUGUCUUCCUUGUAGUGAUCCCAAGUAGCAGCGAGCUCGUGGAAUUUGCUGUGAAUCUGGCGGGACCACCCGCUAAGCCUAAAUACUCCCUGGUGACCGAUAGCGGACUAGUACCGUGAGGGAAAGAUGAAAAGUACCCCGGGAGGGGAGUGAAAUAGUACCUGAAACCGUGUGCUUACAAUCCGUCAGAGCCUCCGUUGCAGGGGUGAUGGCGUGCCUUUUGAAGAAUGAGCCUGCGAGUUAGCGGUACGUGGCGAGGUUAACCUGUGUGGGGUAGCCGUAGCGAAAGCGAGUCCGAAUAGGGCGAUAUAGUCGCGUGCUCUAGACCCGAAGCGGGGUGAUCUAGCCAUGGCCAGGGUGAAGCGCGGGUAAGACCGCGUGGAGGCCCGAACCCACCAGGGUUGAAAACCUGGGGGAUGAGCUGUGGUUAGGGGUGAAAGGCCAAUCAAACUCCGUGAUAGCUGGUUCUCCCCGAAAUGCAUUUAGGUGCAGCGUCGCAUGUUUCUUGGUGGGGGUAGAGCACUGGAUGGCCUAGGGGGCCUACAAGCUUACUGAAGUCAACCAAACUCCGAAUACCAUCAAGUGAGAGUGCGGCAGUGAGACUGCGGGCGAUAAGGUUCGUAGUCGAGAGGGAAACAGCCCAGAACACCAGCUAAGGCCCCAAAGUGUGUGCUAAGUGGGAAAGGAUGUGGGGUCGCCCAGACAACCAGGAGGUUGGCUUAGAAGCAGCCACCCUUUAAAGAGUGCGUAAUAGCUCACUGGUCAAGUGGUCCUGCGCCGACAAUGUAGCGGGGCUCAAGCACACCGCCGAAGCUGUGUCAUUCACACAUCGAUCGGCUUCACCUUCGGGUGGGGUCCAGUCGUGUGGAUGGGUAGGGGAGCGUCGUGUGGGCGAUGAAGCGGCAGGGGAACCUAGCCGUGGAGGCCACGCGAGUGAGAAUGCAGGCAUGAGUAGCGAAAGACGAGUGAGAAACUCGUCCGCCGGAUGACCAAGGGUUCCUGGGCCAGGCUAAUCCGCCCAGGGUAAGUCGGGACCUAAGGCGAGGCCGACAGGCGUAGUCGAUGGACAACGGGUUGAUAUUCCCGUACCCGUGUAAACGCGUCCAUGGUGAGGCCGGUGAUGCUAACCGCCCGAGAGUUGUGGAGUCUUCGGACAAAACAAUGAUUGCGCGGGAUCCGAUCCGGUAGUAGUCAAGCGAUGGGGUGACGCAGGAGGGUAGCUCCGCCAGUCAGUGGUAAUACUGGUGUAAGCGUGUAGGCUAUCGGGAUAGGCAAAUCCGUCCUGAUGUUAGGCUGAGACGUGAUGCGUAGCCGAUUGAGGCGAAGUAGAGUGAUCCCAUGCUGCCGAGAAAAGCCUCUAGCGAGUGUUUAUGCGGCCCGUACCCCAAACCGACACAGGUGGUCAGGUAGAGAAUACCGAGGCGUUCGGGUGAACUGUGGUUAAGGAACUCGGCAAAAUGCCCCCGUAACUUCGGGAGAAGGGGGGCCGUGUGGCUUGAAGCCCCAUGCGGGCUAGGGCUGUGCGGCCGCAGAGAGCAGCGAGAAGCGACUGUUUACUAAAAACACAGGUCCAUGCGAAGUCGCAAGACGAUGUAUAUGGACUGACGCCUGCCCGGUGCUGGAACGUUAAGGGGACCGGUUAGCCUUUCGGGGCGAAGCUGAGAACUUAAGCGCCAGUAAACGGCGGUGGUAACUAUAACCAUCCUAAGGUAGCGAAAUUCCUUGUCGGGUAAGUUCCGACCUGCACGAAUGGCGUAACGACUUCUCGACUGUCUCAACCACAGGCCCGGUGAAAUUGCAUUACGAGUAAAGAUGCUCGUUACGCGCGGCAGGACGGAAAGACCCCGGGACCUUUACUAUAGCUUGGUAUUGGUGCUCGGUUCGGCUUGUGUAGGAUAGGUGGGAGACUGUGAAGCGGUCACGCCAGUGGCUGUGGAGUCAUCGUUGAAAUACCACUCUGGUCGUUCUGGGUGUCUAACCUCGGACCAUGAUCUGGUUCAGGGACAGUGCCUGGUGGGUAGUUUAACUGGGGCGGUUGCCUCCCAAAGGGUAACGGAGGCGCUCAAAGGUUCCCUCAGCCUGGUUGGCAAUCAGGUGUUGAGUGCAAGUGCACAAGGGGGCUUGACUGUGAGACUGACAGGUCGAGCAGGGACGAAAGUCGGAACUAGUGAUCCGGCGCUGGCUGGUGGAAGCGGCGUCGCUCAACGGAUAAAAGGUACCCCGGGGAUAACAGGCUGAUCUUGCCCAAGAGUCCAUAUCGACGGCAUGGUUUGGCACCUCGAUGUCGGCUCGUCGCAUCCUGGGGCUGGAGUAGGUCCCAAGGGUUGGGCUGUUCGCCCAUUAAAGCGGUACGCGAGCUGGGUUUAGAACGUCGUGAGACAGUUCGGUCCCUAUCCGCCGUGCGCGUAGGAGAUUUGAGGAAGGCUGUCCCUAGUACGAGAGGACCGGGAUGGACGGACCUCUGGUGUGCCAGUUGUUCCGCCAGGAGCAUGGCUGGUUGGCUACGUUCGGAAGAGAUAACCGCUGAAAGCAUCUAAGCGGGAAGCUUGUUCCAAGAUGAGAUCUCCCUCUCCUUGUGAGUUAAGGCCCCCAAGAGACGAUUGGGUUGAUAGGCCAGAGAUGGAAGCACCGUGAGGUGUGGAGUUGACUGGUACUAAUAGGCCGAGGACUUGACUAC
rfam:Kutzneria albida DSM 43870, complete genome.